GAACCAGGAAUGUUAAUAAGGAUGACUACUAUAGGCAGCAGCAAACUUCAAAAAGGAGUUCAAAGGAAAAACAGUCCAUACGUCAGUGCUACACAACUGAGACAUAUUGAUGGAGGGAGAAGAGCAAUUACUAUUAUCACACUUCCAUGUUAUUGGGUUAAAGCUACUGGAAAAGCUAGGGCAAGUACCUCAUCUUGAAAGGAAACAAAGCUGUAAGGCCUUGAAGUGCAAAGAGUUUACCAUGGUAACAGAUGAAAAUGAGCCUCCAAUAGUUACCUAGUAUUCAGCAGACAGAACAGGUGUAUGUUAUCUUUCAAAAUAAACAUCCAUGUUUCAUCCCCUGGCUUUAUUACAAAAAGUAUAGACUUUUUUCUCCCUUCACUUAGAGGAGUCUGGUUACCUGGAGGAGUCUGCCAUUGUUUAAAAAACCAAAGGCUGUUGUUUGGGAAAUGUAACCAACUUUCUAAGGACAGCUGCUUUUGAAGUUUCCAGACUAAAUUGACAUUGUAACUAUUGUAGGAUAAUGCUUUCAUAAUACAGUAGCAGUGACACAAACUGGAUUUGCAGCAUAGAUGGAACCCUAACAGCUUCCUAAAUCAUGCACCAGGUCUUCAUAAAUUCAAGUCAGUUGUAUAAGUCAGGAAUGUGGUUAAAAUAUGGUUCAGUUCCACCUCCACUGCAAGACAGUCCUUUAUUUAAACCAUGCCAGCAGCCUACUGUGUUGUAACAGGUCCCUUCUGGACAGCCAUUGUUACAGUGAUAAAUGGGAACUUCACAAAUACUUAUGCUAAACUUUCUAAGAUCUCUCCGAAAUCAUAUGCAAUGGAACGUGCGCCUCUUCUGAAGACACCUGUCUUGUCUAACUAAAGCCAUGACCACAAUGAGAACAGAACCAAGCACUACAUUUGCAUUGAAACUGUUAUUGCCGGCAGGUUGUAGCACAUUUUCUCUGCCCACUGGGAACAGAAGUAUUUUUUGUUUGAGGACAAUGUUGUUGUAGACUACCCACAACACGGCUAAUUUAUUGAAUGAAUAUAGUUAAAUAUUUUUAUUCUUUGGAGCUUUAUUUUUUUCUUUUUUUUUAAAGUAGCUCAUCCCCAAAACAGCAGCAUUGAGGGAGUUUGUUAGAGCUAACUAUUGCUUUUAUUUGGACUGACACACAGUUAUUGUGAUGCAUCCAUUCUAUUUUCAUCAUGUCAAAGUCUGCUAAAUAUAAUGCUUUGUGACUGCCAUAUCUGGGUGAGAGGUAUCACAGUGACGUAAAAAUUUCCACCUUGGGAGUUUCAGCAAGAGACUGAGUGCUGAAGUGUGCUGUGAAAAAGCCUGCAAUCUUCCAAGUGCUUUUGAUAAGUUGAAGAGAUUUAAUAAGAAACACUUUAAAAGUCUGAUAUUGGGUGUGGGGGAGAUGAUACAGUAAAGAGCAUUUCACUUUUAGGCCACCUCACUUAAUCCAGCUCAGGCUGGUAGUAACCAAAAGUCAUUACAGUCUGAUGGCUGUAUGGUGGCCGAUGUGAAAUGAGUUAUUGAUCAGUUAAUUUCUCAGAGCACAUAUCACACACACAAAACUCAUCACAACAACUUCCUGCUCUAUAACUUUCCUGUGAUGGAGUAUACAACGCCCCAUACCAGUAACGAAAGGGUUAAAUGGUUACUCUGGGACCAGGAAGCCCCACCCACCACAUCUCCAAAGUAUGCACAGCUUGCAAGAGGAGCUCAAAAAGAAAACGGGCCAGUUCAGUAGGCUGCAGACAGUGGAGGUGAACUGAUCCGCACCCUGAAAGCCUGGGAAGAAGACCACUGCAGGAACAUACAGGGAAGAACCUGGUGAUUCUCAGAAGAACUGAAACUUUAUCUUUGAUUCCAGGUCUUCCUGCGGAUGCCCCAGACAGCAAGGAGCCAAUGGCCACCCCCUGUGAUUCCGCAAAACAUAAAAGGGCAUCGAUAUGCUCAUGUGACCCUGGACUACUCCAUCUUGUGCCAGUAAAUGUCCAUACACGGGGCUGUGGGCUUUGUUUGGGAGAGUACAUUUCCAUCCACACGGCAAAGAAUAUAAAAAGACACCCAAGACACCUCCAUUUUGUCUUUCUCCUGCUCUAAUUCUCUGGACUGUGGAUAUACAACUAAAAGGAGUAUCUUGAAUUACGGACAGUGGACCUUCCAAUCUUUUGGAAGUUACCAGCGAGACAUUUGCAAGCCAGCAGUCUAUUCCAUCCCUGCUACAGACCUGAUAUAAGGACUUCGCAAUCAUUUAUCUCAGGAUUUUGGGAAAUGCUGCUGAGAUGGCAUUUGGACUGCCAUGCCAACUCCCAAAAAAGGAGGUCCUUUGUAUGUCCAGGUCUCUCAGUGUAUAUACUUACCGACUAACCAAUCCUUUUUUGUUGUUGUUGUUCUUUAUGAUGUUUAGGUAAAUAUCCUAAAAAUAAUUGUUCAGAUAACAAAUGCAUAUUUUGAAAAUAUAUGAAGUAGUUUAUUUUGAAUUGGUUUUUCAUGUCUUUUGCUGCUUUGGGGGUUGGGGUACCAGAAGUGUAGGAACAAAGCAGAGCUGAUAACGCAGAAUACCAUGUCAUAUGCUCUCAGGCCUGCAUGCAGCCAAUAGGUGAGUGGCUUGACAGGCAACAGAGUGAGUGCUCUUACCUGACAACUGUCACUGAAGAGAGAGCAGGAGCAAUGUGGGAUCACACUCGGUGAACUCAUUGCACCAUGCAGUUGCAACCCUUGCAUUUCCUGCCUACUUUGGAACUACAGUGGUGCAGAGUGACUCAAUAGCUGAUGCAAUAGUGCUUAGCCUUGCUCAGAGCCACUGCAAUCGUAGCUGUGAUGUGAACAUCUGUGCCUCAUUGCAGGUAGUCAUGCAUGGACACACGAGGUUUUAUAAGCGUUCUGUGGGCAUAAUGGUGUUCACAAUGCCCAAAUGCUGUUGUAUAGAUAAGACGGGGUGAAGAUGGGAUACUCAUCAGUUUUACAUAUGGAAGGAACGGCCAGCAACAGGUGGGUGAUUCACAGAAGAAAACUUGAUUUGUUAGGUGGAUCAGAACGUUAGUAUAAUCCAAGUUUUCAAUAAACUGACUUUCUGAACUACCCAUAAGAAUAUUUUAAAGUACAGUUCCAUUCUGAAAAGUGACUCUGUUGAUACAGCUUUGCAGAGUUCCAUGUUUGUGUCUCACUGAAUUGUUAGAAAAUGUGCUCCGCUUCCCAAAAACCAAACUUUUUUCUGACUCCCAGCCCUCCAAACUAAACCUGGGAUUUGAGAAUCAAGAUGGAUUUUAACUUUCCCAGGCACAAAUAACCAGUCAUAAAGUUCCUGCAGGUCGUGUUAUUUCUUCAGUUCCACCGGAACAUUGAAGAUGAAUGGGAUUGCACAGGUGUAACUGAAGAAAUAAUAUGAAGACAAUCUGCUUGCACAAAAUUAAAUAAGGACAUAAUGUGGUCUCCAGUGAUAAUGAUAUAUGAGAAAGAAGGGACCCAGCUUGAUUCUUUUGCUGCCCAGGAUGAGUUUGCAGGGCUAGCAGUUAGAAAAAACAUCUUAUUUGUCAACUAAGCAAAUUUGAUACAGUAACUCCUCACUUAACGUUGUAGAUAUGUUCCCCCAAAAUGCGACUGUCAAGGUUCCUCCCCCACUCUGAACUCUAGGGUACAGAUGUGGGGACCUGCAUGAAAAACCUCCUAAGCUUAUCUUUACCAGCUUAGGUCAAAACUUCCCCA